rnacentral:rRNA from 1 species
AUGCAAGUCGAGUGCGCGUCCGUAGCAAUACGGAUGGCGCACGGCGCACGGGUGCGUAACACGUGGGCAAUCUGCCCUCGGAUGGGGGAUAACCCCGCGAAAGCGGGGCUAAUACCGCAUGACAUUCCGAAGACUCCGGUCUUUGGACUCAAAGGCCGCAAGGCCGUCUGAGGAGGAGCCCGCGCCCGAUUAGCUAGUUGGCGGGGUAACGGCCCACCAAGGCUUUGAUCGGUAGCCGGUCUGAGAGGAUGGCCGGCCACACUGGAACUGAGACACGGUCCAGACUCCUACGGGAGGCAGCAGUGGGGAAUAUUGCGCAAUGGGCGAAAGCCUGACGCAGCGACGCCGCGUGGGGGAUGAAGCUUCUCGGAGUGUAAACCCCUUUCGACCCGGACGAAUGACCCGCAAGGGUUUGACGGUACGGGUAUAAGAAGCCCCGGCUAACUACGUGCCAGCAGCCGCGGUAAUACGUAGGGGGCCAGCGUUGCUCGGAAUUACUGGGCGUAAAGGGUUCGUAGGUGGUGCGGCAAGUUGGGAGUGAAAUCUCUGGGCUUAACCCAGAGGCUGCUUUCAAAACUGCCGCGCUCGAGUGCGAGAGAGGCCAGUGGAGUUGCAGGUGUAGCGGUGAAA